CCUUCGGGAUGAGUAAAGUGGCGAACGGGUGCAUAACACGUAGGAAUCUACCUUUUAGUGGGGGAUACCUUCGAGAAAUCGAAGUUAAUACCGCAUGUUCCCUUCGGGGAAAAGAUGGCCUCUUUGCUAUCGCUAAAAGAUGAGCCUGCGGACUAUUAGCUAGUUGGUGGGGUAAAAGCCUACCAAGGCGAAGAUGGUUAGCCGGCCUGAGAGGGUGUACGGCCACACUGGGACUGAGAUACGGCCCAGACUCCUACGGGAGGCAGCAGUGGGGAAUAUUGCACAAUGGGCGAAAGCCUGAUGCAGCGACGCCGCGUGAAGGAUGAAGGUCUUCGGAUUGUAAACUUCUGUUAAACGGGAAGAAAUCUUCGUAAAUAAUACGUGCGAAGGAUGACGGUACCGUUAGAGAAAGCCCCGGCUAACUUCGUGCCAGCAGCCGCGGUAAGACGAAGGGGGCGAGCGUUAUUCGGAAUUACUGGGCGUAAAGAGCGUGUAGGCGGCUAAUUAAGUUAGUUGUUAAAUUUCCUAGCCUAACUGGGAAUCAGCAAUUAAUACUGAUUAGCUAGAGGACAAGAGAGAGAAGUGGAAUUCUCGGAGUAGCGGUAAAAUGCGUAGAUCUCGAGAGGAACACCGGUUGCGAAGGCGGCUUCUUGGCUUGUAUCUGACGCUAAAGCGCGAAAGCGUGGGGAGCAAACAGGAUUAGAUACCCUGGUAGUCCACGCCGUAAACGAUGAUCACUAGAUGUGGGUUUUGCUUGUCAGAAUCCGUGUCGAAGCUAACGCGUUAAGUGAUCCGCCUGGGGAGUACGGUCGCAAGAUUAAAACUUAAAGAAAUUGACGGGGGUCCGCACAAGCGGUGGAACAUGUGGUUUAAUUCGACACUACGCGAGGAACCUUACCUGGGCUUGACAUGUAUCUGACUGUCAUAGAAAUAUGAUUUUCCAAGUUUACUUGGACAGAUACACAGGUGCUGCAUGGCUGUCGUCAGCUCGUGUCGUGAGAUGUUGGGUUAAGUCCUUUAACGAGCGCAACCCUUGCCGUCAGUUGCUACUCUCGAAAGAGAGGCACUCUGAUGGGACUGCCUAGGAAACUAGGAGGAAGGUGGGGAUGACGUCAAGUCCUCAUGGCCUUUAUGUCCAGGGCUACACACGUGUUACAAUGGCUAGUACAAAGGGAAGCAAACCCGUGAGGGGGAGCAAAUCUCAAAAAACUAGUCUAAGUUCAGAUUGGAGUCUGCAACUCGACUCCAUGAAGUUGAAAUCGCUAGUAAUCGCGUAUCAGAACGACGCGGUGAAUACGUUCUCGGACCUUGUACACACCGCCCGUCACACCACGAAAAUCGUCUA
rnacentral:rRNA from 1 species